rnacentral:rRNA from 1 species
UGAGGAAUAUUGGUCAAUGGGCGGGAGCCUGAACCAGCCAAGCCGCGUGAGGGAAGAAGGCCCUAUGGGUCGUAAACCUCUUUUGUCAGGGAACAAAAGCGAGUAUGUAUACUGGUCUGAGUGUACCUGAAGAAAAAGCAUCGGCUAACUCCGUGCCAGCAGCCGCGGUAAUACGGAGGAAUGCGAGCGUUAUCCGGAUUUAUUGGGUUUAAAGGGUGCGUAGGCGGCGGUGCAAGUCAGCGGUAAAAGCCCGGGGCUCAACCCCGGCGAGCCGUUGAAACUGCAGUGCUAGAGAAGGCGAGAGGUACGCGGAAUGCGCAGUGUAGCGGUGAAAUGCUUAGAUAUUGCGCAGAAACUCCGAUUGCGAAGGCAGCGUACUGGCGCCUGACUGACGCUGAGGCACGAAAGCGUGGGGAUCGAACAGGAUUAGAUACC